rnacentral:sRNA from 1 species
AUACUUUCUGACUCUGACUUCCCUUUACUGCUCAAUGCAAAGUUCCUGGACCUGGGUCUGCUCAUCCCAGUUUCUGACAGAAUACACAUGAGGUGUCACCAUCAUUGGGGAGGUGAGGGCUUUGAGGCAGCAGGAAGGGACUAGUCAUUUGUUUCCAGAAUGAAGCCCUGGGGUUCAGAGUACCAGAGCCUCAGUGGAGGUCAGCAGAUGUCCCUCCCUCCUUGGAAUGGCAGCCCAUCCCAGGAGAUGUCCUGACAACACCUGUGUACCCUGCAUAGGGUCCCUGAUGGGCCUGGGUGACAUUAUCUCACAGCAGCUGGUGGAGAGGCGGGGUCUGCAGGAACACCAGAGAGGCCGGACUCUGACCAUGGUGUCCCUGGGCUGUGGCUUUGUGGUAAGUUCUCCCCUCAACAGGGCUUCAGUGGACUCAACAGUGGUCUUAGUUCUUUGCCAUCCUUUGGCUUCCCUUGGACUCUCACACCUAAGCCAACCUGCCGCCCUCUUUUUUCUUAGUGUCCACUUCCCCUAUUCUGAUACUUGGGGCAGGGAGCUUAGUGAGGUAGAGGCCUAGGGCUCCCUCACUGCAGCCUGCUGCUAUCUGGGGUUUACUUCCAGGGCCCUGUGGUAGGAGGCUGGUACAAGGUUUUGGAUCGGUUCAUCCCUGGCACCACCAAAGUGGAUGCACUGAAGAAGAUGUUGUUGGAUCAGGUGAGCAGGAGAACGGAGUGGGGAGGGUGAGCUAUGUUGGGGGUAGGUGGGGAUUUCAGCACUCAUAGGACUUUAAUUUCUCUUCCCUAGGGGGGCUUUGCCCCGUGUUUUCUAGGCUGCUUUCUCCCACUGGUAGGGGCACUUAAUGGACUGCCAGCCCAGGACAACUGGGCCAAACUACAGCGGGUGAGCUGGGCAGGUGUGGAGAAUGUCUCUGGCUGGCGGGCUGACAGCCCAGGGGAAGAAGACAGGUUUUACAGGGAUAAAAAAGGGGGUAAGUGCAGGUAGAGCCCCAGGCCAUGGAGGAGAGGAGCUGAGGGUUAUGGUGCAGGAAUGUGCUCUUUGAACCCAAGUCUGUGUGUGACAUUCACACUGGGAAGUGGGAGCUGCUUGGGGGCGCAAGUGUUAAUUUGUUCCUUCUCUGUCUCCCCAGGAUUAUCCUGAUGCCCUUAUCACCAACUACUAUGUAAGAGCUGACACCUCAACUGCUUGUUCUCCUGCUUCCUUAAGUCUAGAACUGUCCUGGGAUUGGGGGGUCCUCCUGACAUGGGAAACCCUUCCGUUGGGAUUACUCUUUCAUUCCCAGGAUGGGCACCAUAAAUAGGGAAGCCAUCACCCAACUGUUCACCUUUUUCUUGUGUGCAGAAGUUGGGGUAGGGCCAGGCAAGACAGUGAGUCUGGGGUCAGGUGGUGGGGCAGCCAUCCAACCUUUACAUUCUCUCUUGCAGCUAUGGCCUGCUGUGCAGUUAGCCAACUUCUACCUGGUCCCCCUUCAUUACAGGUAUGUUGCACCCCUACCCCACCCAUCAAGGAAGACCCACGUUACCAACAGUUGGAGACAAAAUGAUUCUCAUUUCAACCUUGAGCUACCUUAGACCCCCAAACGGAACACUGAGCCGUGAUCAGAGUUCCUCAAAUUCCCAAGCGUGUUAUUCAGAAUGUCUUGCCAUUUCCACAAACUGUCCCAGAGUGUCUGCCCACUGACCUUCUUCAUCUCCCUAGGGAGGAUCCUGCUUCUACCACCCUUGUCUCCAUCCCACCUGAGCUCCGUCUUUGAUGGCAUAUCUGGAGGGACAGUGGCUGGGGUGCUGCAGCCUAGGUUAGACAGAGAGGUAGACCAGAAGGCCAAGUAGGAGCCUGGUCAGACACUCACGAUAAAGACAGUUGCUGAACUGCACCCAAAAAGAUAGUGGAACUGAAGAUGUGUGGUUCAAAUGCUUGAAGGUGAAGGGUCGUGGGAACGGGAAAAUAUGGAACGCUACAGAGGGAACAGGGCCAAAAUGUACGUGAAUAGCAUAGCUAAAACGAAUACAGACUGGCUGGGCACGGUGGCUCACACCUGUAAUUCUAGCACUUUGGGAGGCUGAGGCAAGAGGUUUGCUUGAGUCCAGGAGUUUGACACCAGCCUGGGCAAUAUAGUGAGACCUCAUCUCUACAGAAAAUACAAAAAAUUAGCCAGGCACAUGGUAACAUGUGCCCGUAGUCCCAGCUACUCGGGAGGCUGAGGUGGGAGGAUCACUUGAGCCUGUGAGAUGGAGGUUGCUGUGAACUGAGAUUGUGCCACUGCAUUUCAGCCUGCUGACAGAGUGAGACCCUGUCUCC